rfam:Ornithorhynchus anatinus chromosome 5, whole genome shotgun sequence.
CCCCUCUCAGGAUCGCACAGGGAGAGUUUCCAGUACUCUACCAGUCUCGAGUAUGGGAGGGAGAGUCAAUCAGAGACAUGCCCAUUCCAUUCCUAGCUUAGCCAGUGGCUAGCAAAUGGAAGACAAUCUGCUACACGU